rnacentral:rRNA from 1 species
UACGAAGGGGGCUAGCGUUGCUCGGAAUCACUGGGCGUAAAGGGUGCGUAGGCGGGUCUUUAAGUCGGGGGUGAAAUCCUGGAGCUCAACUCCAGAACUGCCUUUGAUACUGAGGAUCUUGAGUUCGGGAGAGGUGAGUGGAACUGCGAGUGUAGAGGUGAAAUUCGUAGAUAUUCGCAAGAACACCGGUGGCGAAGGCGGCUCACUGGCCCGAUACUGACGCUGAGGCACGAAAGCGUGGGGAGCAAACAGG